AGUAAAAUCUUUCUCUUGAAAUUUUUUUUCAAAAAGAAAACAGGCAGGACAAAAAUAGCGUUAUUGCAUUUAUUAACAGUAUUCUUAUAUCACUGUGUUUUGAGUUUAUAAAAAUUUCUUUUAUAUGCUUAAUUUUAGAAGAAAAAUUACUGCCCAGCACAUUGAAAGCAGUGAUUCAGAGGAAAUUGAGACAAAUGAAUUGCCACACAAAAUAAAAGGAAAACUGAAAAAUGUGCAGUCAGAGAAUAAAAGGCUAAAAGCAGGAUCAUCUAAGAAAGAAGAUGCAACAUUUUCACUUACCUCACCUCCGAUGGCGAAAAAGAAAAUGUUAAAAAAGGGUCAGUAAAUCUGCUAUGUUUUUAGCUUUUUUCUGUUUUUUUAGUGAAAAAAAUAAGUUGUAAAAGUUAUGGAGUCAUAUUACAAGAAGUUUGGAAAAUAGAGAAAAGGGAAAAAAAAACUAUGUUUUGUUGUUGUUUUGUUUUAAUGUCUUCUCCUGUUGUAUUUGUUUUACAAAGAUCAAAAUAUGAUGCCAGGGUCAUUACUCCUGAAUAGCAGAGGUAUUUAUUCUAGUGAAGGCAC
rnacentral:lncRNA from 1 species